ACAAUACCCACAAACACUACACUGAUUUCUUUCUCGUCUUCAUCUCUCUUGCUUAUCUCUCUCUCAACCACACCAGUACCACCACCGCCACCACCGUCACCUUCGCACCACCACCAUCUAUUCCCCUGCUAUGUGCUACUAUUUAAUUCAUACAUAGAUUCAUUCCCAAAAUGGCAACUUUAUAACCAGCCCAACUCGAUUUGGAAGCUAAAGACCACUCCCGCCGUCAUUCCACCGCGGCCAACAUUGAGAUUGUAGGGGCGGUGGUAUCUGAUGAGGAGGAGAAAGGGAGGGAAUCCACGGUGUCAGAUUUCUCGAUUGUGGAUCUAGAAAGUGGUGGUGGUGCGGCCCAUAAUGAUAAGGUACAUUGGUCAAAGAUUGAAGGGGAUUGUAGGAUUUGUCAUUUGAGUAUUGAUUUAACCAAUCAAGAUUCUAAGAAUGGGAGUCCUAUUGAGUUGGGUUGUUCUUGUAAAGAUGAUUUAGCUGUUGCUCAUAAAUAUUGUGCUGAAGCUUGGUUCAAGAUUAAGGGUAAUAAGCGGUGAUUGGUGGUUGACGGUCAACGGAAGAUGGUGAUAGUUAUGGAGGUGCGGUGGGAAUGGUGGUGGUGCGGUGGUGUUAAUGGUGUUGGUAGGGGUAGAGAGAAAGAGAGGAGGGAUGGACAGGUGUGUGAAAUGUCUAUGUGAGUAUAACAAUAUAUAUAUAUAUAUAUAUAUAUAAUAUUUUAUAUAUAAUAUUAAAAUAUUUAUGCAUUAAAGACUUGUUCCUUAUACUUUUGUGCAUAUAAGACUUGUACUUUGUGUGUAAAUGACCAAAUUACCCUUGCAGUUAACAAACUUGGUGGAUGGAGUUAGAAAUUUGGACUCAAA